GGGGUAUACCUCCCACCCUUUGUUUAUUAUACCUUUGUUGCUUUGGCGGGCCCGUCCUCGGACCACCGGCUUCGGCUGGUCAGUGCCCGCCAGAGGACCUAAAACUCUGUUUGUUCAUAUUGUCUGAGUACUAUAUAAUAGUUAAAACUUUCAACAACGGAUCUCUUGGUUCUGGCAUCGAUGAAGAACGCAGCGAAAUGCGAUAAGUAAUGUGAAUUGCAGAAUUCAGUGAAUCAUCGAAUCUUUGAACGCACAUUGCGCCCCCUGGUAUUCCGGGGGGCAUGCCUGUUCGAGCGUCAUUACAACCCUCAGCUCUGCUUGGUAUUGGGCUCUGCCGGUCCCGGCAGGCCUUAAAAUCAGUGGCGGUGCCAUUCGGCUUCAAGCGUGUAAUUCUUCUCGCUUUGGAGACCCGGGUGCGUGCUUGCCAGCAACCCCCAAUUUUUUCAGGUUGACCUCGGAUCAGGUAGGGAUACCCGCUGAACUUAAGCAUAUCAAUAAGCGGAGGGAAAAAGAAACUU
rnacentral:rRNA from 1 species